UCGGCGAGCUGGACGAACAGGCGCGGGUCUGGAGUCUGCUGAACUCCGAGCCGUCGCCGCCGGAGAACGCCGGGGCGCUCAGGGACGUCCUGGCGGGAC
rnacentral:tRNA from 1 species